rnacentral:tRNA from 1 species
UCUCGAUUGGUCUAGUGGUCAGGAUACCUGCUUGUCAUGAGACAAUUCGCAGGUGGCCGGGGUUCGAUUCCCCGAUCGAGAG